GAUGAACGCUAGCUACAGGCUUAACACAUGCAAGUCGAGGGGAAACGAUAGAGAAAGCUUGCUUUUUCUAGGCGUCGACCGGCGCACGGGUGAGUAACGCGUAUCCAACCUGCCCACCACUUGGGGAUAACCUUGCGAAAGUAAGACUAAUACCCAAUGACGUCUCUAGAAGACAUCUGAAAGAGAUUAAAGAUUUAUCGGUGAUGGAUGGGGAUGCGUCUGAUUAGCUUGUUGGCGGGUAAGCCACCAAGGCGACGAUCAGUAGGGGUUCUGAGAGGAAGGUCCCCCANAUUGGAACUGAGACACGGUCCAAAACUCCUACGGGAAGGCAGGCAGGUGACGGAAUAUUGGUCAAUGGACGAGAGUCUGAACCAGCCAAGUAGCGUGCAGGAUGACGGCCCUAUGGGUUGUAAAC
rnacentral:rRNA from 1 species